rnacentral:rRNA from 1 species
GACGAACGCUGGCGGCGUGCUUAACACAUGCAAGUCGAACGGAAAGGCCCUGCUUUUGUGGGGUGCUCGAGUGGCGAACGGGUGAGUAACACGCGAGUAACCUGCCCUUGACUUUGGGAUAACUUCAGGAAACUGGGGCUAAUACCGGAUAGGAGCUCCUGCUGCAUGGUGGGGGUUGGAAAGUUUCGGCGGUUGGGGAUGGACUCGCGGCUUAUCAGCUUGUUGGUGGGGUAGUGGCUUACCAAGGCUUUGACGGGUAGCCGGCCUGAGAGGGUGACCGGCCACAAUGGGACUGAGAUACGGAGCAGACUCCUACGGGAGGCAGCGGUGGGGAAUAUUGCACAAUGGGCGGAAGCCUGAUGCAGCGACGCCGCGUGCGGGAUGACGGCCUUCGGGUUGUAAACCGCUUUCGCCUGUGACGAAGCGUGAGUGACGGUAAUGGGUAAAGAAGCACCGGCUAACUACGUG